rnacentral:rRNA from 1 species
CAAUAGCGUAUAUUAAAGUUGUUGCGGUAAAAAAGCUCGUAGUUGGAUUUCUACCGAAGAUAGCCGGUCGGGUCUUCGACCUUGUAUCUGGUUUUGUCUUUGGUAUCCUCAUAGGGAACGUUUCUGCGCUUUAUUGCGUGGUGCGGUAUCUAUGACUUUUACUUUGAGGAAAUUAGAGUGUUCACGGCAGGCAAACGCCUUGAAUAUAUAGCAUGGAAUAAUAACAUAGGAUCUUCGUCCUAUUUUGUUGGUUUCUAGGGCUAAGAUAAUGAUUAAUAGGGAUAAUUGGGGGCAUCUGUAUCAACGCGUCAGAGGUGGAAUUCUUGGAUUGCGUUGCGACAAACUACUGCGAAAGCAUUUGCCAAGGAUGUUUUCAUUGA